rnacentral:rRNA from 1 species
AUUGAACGCUGGCGGCAUGCUUUACACAUGCAAGUCGAACGGUAACAGGUUAAGCUGACGAGUGGCGAACGGGUGAGUAAUGCAUCGGAACGUGCCCGGUCGUGGGGGAUAACGUAGCGAAAGUUGCGCUAAUACCGCAUACGAUCUGAGGAUGAAAGCGGGGGACCGUAAGGCCUCGCGCGAUCGGAGCGGCCGAUGUCAGAUUAGGUAGUUGGUGGGGUAAAGGCUCACCAAGCCAACGAUCUGUAGCUGGUCUGAGAGGACGACCAGCCACACUGGGACUGAGACACGGCCCAGACUCCUACGGGAGGCAGCAGUGGGGAAUUUUGGACAAUGGGCGAAAGCCUGAUCCAGCAAUGCCGCGUGCAGGAAGAAGGCCUUCGGGUUGUAAACUGCUUUUGUACGGAGCGAAAAGGUCUCCUCUAAUACAGGGGGCUCAUGACGGUACCGUAAGAAUAAGCACCGGCUAACUACGUGCCAGCAGCCGCCGUAA